AUGAUAUUUGACAUUUGUAACCAUAAGGUGAUAUAUGUAUAUACCUAUUUUAAUACAACCUUUCUACAUGUAGUGUGGAUUCAUUAUUAUUCGUUUUCAAUUUUUUCGUGGACUUCGUGGGUAAAGGUGAACCACGAAAUUAAAUGUUCAACGAAUGAAUUUUUUUUUAUAGACAUGUAUGCCGACUUUCGCAAAACCACGAAAUCAAAUAUCCAAGAACAUGUACGUUUUCCUAAAUCCACGAAAAUAGGUACCCC
rnacentral:lncRNA from 1 species